UUACGGCCACAACACGUUGAAACACCUGUUAUCGUACGACUGCUGAAGUUAAGCAGCGUUGAGCCUGGUCAGUACCUCAAUGGGUGAGCGUUUGAGAAUACCAUGU